GAGUUUGCUCAGAUUCAGGUCCAUUGAGUUGGUGAUGUUAUCUAACCAUAGCUUCCCAAAACAUUUAGUGGGAAACCUGGCCAGAGAGCUGGUCUUGGCUUGGGCGGGGCUGGAGCCAAGAGCCCAGAGCUGGGGGAUCCAGACUGAUGCCAGAUCCUUCCCCAGAAGCAGUCCCUGCUGCCUGGGAGACUGGAAGGUCUGAGUCCCAGGGGUAUGGAGCUAACAGGAAAAGGAUGUUCCAGCCCAAGUCCUAGCUGCCCAGGACCCACCCUCCUUCCUCGAGUUCAGCCCCAGGGUGCCUGUGCUUUGACCUGCUUCUGCAGACAGUGCCUGUGAAGAUAAAAGGGAACCUGCACAUCAAGGGAAGAAUUUCCAACCAGAGUCCCCUCUGUAACCAGGGUAGAGCCUUGGGAGGCAACAGGAAAGAAACCCUAAGGCUGGACCUGCCAGCCAUCUGUGCAGAGGAGUUGGGCCAGCAAACACCCAGAAGGACCAGAUGCUGGCCUGCGGGGACCUCUCCAGACUGUGGCUCCUGAGCUGGCACCCUUCUGGUUCAGGGCUCCUCAGCCCCAGCACAGUGCCUGAUGUUUAGCACAGUUCACUCAGUAAUUGACAAGGCCUGAAAUUCACAUUUUUAGUCCAACACCAUUUUCUAUGAGUCAUGUGAAAAAUGUUGAUGGAGGUCCAGAGAUAACAAAAUAAGAGACAAUCAGGGUGAAUAAGUCCUCAGACCACGGAAUUUAGUGAAGGACAGGGAAGGCUGGCGUGCUGCAGUCCACGGGGUCACAAAGAAUCAGACA